rnacentral:rRNA from 1 species
GCGACGGGUGAGUAACCGUGGGCAAUCUGCCCUUCACUCUGGGACAAGCCCUGGAAACGGGGUCUAAUACCGGAUAACACUGCGGAUCGCAUGGUCUGCGGUUAAAAGCUCCGGCGGUGAAGGAUGAGCCCGCGGCCUAUCAGCUUGUUGGUGAGGUAAUGGCUCACCAAGGCGACGACGGGUAGCCGGCCUGAGAGGGCGACCGGCCACACUGGGACUGAGACACGGCCCAGACUCCUACGGGAGGCAGCAGUGGGGAAUAUUGCACAAUGGGCGAAAGCCUGAUGCAGCGACGCCGCGUGAGGGAUGACGGCCUUCGGGUUGUAAACCUCUUUCAGCAGGGAAGAAGCGAAAGUGACGGUACCUGCAGAAGAAGCGCCGGCUAACUACGUGCCAGCAGCC